UGACGUCAUCGGCCCGAGACGCAGAUCACAGCUGAUCCAGGCACCGUCAUUGAGCAGAGGCAUGCGGGUGGAUCGUUUCCUUUUAUUCACAAGCUUUAAAACAUGCAUGUUUUCAUUUUAUUAACAAAUGUAUAUGUGUAUUAGCAGCGUUUGCUCAAGUUAAAGAAGUUGUUAAUAUGAACAUCUGCUGUUUAUUUCUCUCAAUGUGUGCACACUUUUAUAGCAUUGAAAUGUGUAUUGUUUCAUCUGGUUAACUAAAUGUGCAUUAAUAGUGCUUGUUUAAAAUCUCUUAAUCUGUGCACAGCGCUCUUUGUUUACAUUAGUUCAGAGUUACUGCUAGUUUUAAUGUAAAAGAAUGCAAUUAACUUCACAAACUGUACAUCAUUAAAAAGGUCUAAGACUCAAGCUUCAUAUCCAUCUCGACUUCGUUUUUCAUUUACAUAACAAAAUCAUUGCUUUUGCUCUGUUUUAUUUAUCUAUUUUGCAAUUCUUUAUUUUUAUUUGCAAAACUUAUUUUCUUUUUGCAAUACUUCAUUUUCUUUUGCAAAACUUAAUUUUCUUUUGCAUAUAUAUGCGGCAUUAAAUUGACUCCAUAGGAGAGCUCCGGAGAACAUCUACGCUGUGUGUCGAUGCACUUUACGAGAGAAAAAGACCAGCAAGCAAGGCAACUGCAAUGAAGCAUCAAGAAAGACAUGGACAUGCCAGCCACCCUGAGACUGAUAAUUCAUGAAAAGACAUUUCUGUCAAAGUGGACGGUGAGCAAAGAUGGUGGCUACGUUUUGGAGCAGCACCUGGGUUUUGCAGAUGGCUAUGUAUUCUUUGGCUGCUUGUCUUUAUGUUUCUGUUGCCUAAAGAUUUUUGUGAGGAUAAAUCACAACAAAAUGCACUGCAAAACGUCCUAAGACAGGAGAAAUGGUGAAGAUGCACUGUUUCAGCACUGGAAGACUGUA